rnacentral:snoRNA from 1 species
GUGCAAGCGGUUAAGCCAGCGGGGCUCCUUUCUUCCUGCGGGGCAGGAGUACGCUGGCUGCAGACAGCAGUAUCAUUAGCAGUGGACACAGCCUGUUGCUUGUGUGGGUUGCUUUUAGGGACCAUGGGAACAGCA